UUUGGCCUGCGGGACGCAGCAGUGGGGAAUAUUGCACAAUGGGGGGAAACCCUGAUGCAGCGACGCCGCGUGAGUGAAGAAGCGUUUCGGCGCGUAAAGCUCUGUCAGCGGGGAAGAAACACGGUUCGCGAGAGCCGCGGACGGUACCCGACCAAGAAGCCCCGGCUAACUACGUGCCAGCAGCCGCGGUAAUACGUAGGGGGCAAGCGUUAUCCGGAUUCACUGGGUGUAA
rnacentral:rRNA from 1 species